UGGCUAUCGCACCAUCUACAUAUGCGCAGAAGGCCUCCUAACGCAGAGGAAAUCUCGCGAACUGCCAAAACGGUUACUUUGCCUCUGCGCUUAUGGCACACAGCGGUACCUGGUAUUUCUCCAAGAUUGGUUCGGAACAUGUCGCCUUCCACAAAUAAUAAUUCGUGGGUUAUGGAUCGAGGGGAAACCUAGGUUGUCAACUCAGGGAUGAUCGCCUGCAUGGAGCCGUGGUACUCUUGGAAGUGUUCUGUAUGCGGCAAACGUUUCAAAUUCAACGCUAACUUCGAGAAACACAGUAGACAUGUUGUAGACGAAAGUAUACUUGCCACAAGUGUUCUUACAAGACAGAUAGAGAGCAUUGUUUAAUUGAACACAUAAAAUCGAGACACAAGUCUACCGGCCAUUUCAAACGUGAGAUAUGCUUCAAGAAAUUAAAAUCGCAGUGCAUUCUUAAGAAACAUAAUGAAACCGUCCGCGCUAACACGCGGCCAAUAAAAUGCGACAAGUGUGAUGACGUCUUCAAGCACAAAUGUGGCUUAAACAAACAUCAGCGCAAAGUACAUAAACGAAUUUUUUUUGCAGAAAUUAUAAGAAAACCUUCAAAACACAGGAUGACCUGGAUCAACAUAAUGUCAAGUAUCAGUAUUGAACUUGCCGCAAAAAGAUAUUACCACUCACUAUUAAUGAAUCACACUUGCGGCUUCACAUGCGGAUGAGAUAUAUUUUAUCUACGACGUUUACAGCAACACUUAUUCUUCUGAGGAAAAUAUGCGCAACCACGUAAAAAAAUAUCUGCUUCCUGAAUCGUUAGCAUUGAUGCUCAAGAAAACAUUGUUUUAGAUUUUCCUAGAGUCCGUGCGACAAAAGAGAGCGAUCAUUUAGAUCAAACAAAAGAAAGGGAAAUGGGAGAUAAAUAAUAUGUUUACAGCCUUCUUUACAUUGCAUUUCCUUGACCGAGUAUUUUUCUACAAAGAUUAAUUUUAAAUUUUGUACUUAUUUUGUAAUUACUUAAGGUCUUUUUAUAGAUUUGUAAUAAAUUAAGUGAUCCUCUA